rnacentral:rRNA from 1 species
UGGUGUGUUUAUAGAGAGCGUGUUCCACCGGAUCCCAUCCCGAACUCCGUAGUUAAGCCGCUCUUCGCCGAUGGUACUACUCGGGAAGCUGAGUGGGAGAGUAGGGCGAUGCACCUU